CCUACGGGGAGCAGCAGUGAGGAAUAUUGGUCAAUGGCCGCACGGCUGAACCAGCCAAGUCGCGUGAGGGAUGACGGUCCUAUGGAUUGUAAACCUCUUUUGUCAGGGAGCAAAGGGCGCCACGUGUGGCGCUUUGCGAGUACCUGAAGAAAAAGCAUCGGCUAACUCCGUGCCAGCAGCCGCGGUAAUACGGAGGAUGCGAGCGUUAUCCGGAUUUAUUGGGUUUAAGGGGUGCGCAGGCGGAAUGUCAAGUCAGCGGUAAAAUUUCGGGGCUCAACCCCGUCGUGCCGUUGAAACUGGCGUUCUUGAGUGAGCGAGAAGUAUGCGGAAUGCGUGGUGUAGCGGUGAAAUGCAUAGAUAUCACGCAGAACUCCGAUUGCGAAGGCAGCAUACCGGCGCUCAACUGACGCUCAUGCACGAAAGCGUGGGUAUCGAACAGGAUUAGAUACCCGGGUAGUC
rnacentral:rRNA from 1 species